ACUUGUACGCCUGUCUGUGGGGUGUUGCGAGUGUUUCGCUUUGCGAAGGCCGCGUGCAUUCGUUCAGGCUCAGCAUGGAUUUUUGGAAAGCGUGUUAUUCUGACAGUGUGAGUGUAUGUUUACUAGAUGAAGAUGAAGGCUCCCAUCCAACUGUCCUGCCAGGUCCAGAAGGUGAGGAGUAAUAGAGCUCUGGCUCAUGGAGGAGAGCUGAAGGCUUCCAGCUGGAUGAUAUCCUGCGAGCAAACUCGGCUGCCUCCAGGAUCACGCAUCCAGGGUCCAAGGUGGGAGUGAGAAGAAACAAUGGGUGGAUGAUGGGCUUCAGCUCUCAAAUCAAAACCACUCUCAGUCUCACACACACACACAUUUGUACACAGUUCUGUGCAGAAGAACAUUUUUCCUCUUAUUGGUCCACACCCACGGCUCCUUGGAGCCAGACUAA